GUCCCUGUAGCGCAAUGGAUAACGCUUUGGACUUCGAACCCAAAUAUUGUAGGUUCGAAUCUUACCUGGGAUG